AGAGAGAGACAUGCGCGCAUAUCAAUAAGCGGAGGAAAAGAAACUAACAAGGAUUCCCUUAGUAACGGCGAGUGAAGCGGGAAGAGCUCAAAUUUGAAAUCUUCAAGGUUCUACCUUGACGAAUUGUAGUUUAUAAGAAGUGUUUUCUGUUAGUGGAGUGGCAAAAGUUCUUUGGAAUAGGACAUCAUAGAGGGUGAGAAUCCCGUAUUUGGUCAUUCCUCCUAGCGUUGUGAUACACUUUCAACGAGUCGGAUUGUUUGGGAAUGCAGUCCAAAAUGGGUGGUAAAUUUCAUCUAAAGCUAAAUAUUGGCGAGAGACCGAUAGCGAACAAGUACCGUGAGGGAAAGAUGAAAAGAACUUUGAAAAGAGAGUUAAACAGUACGUGAAAUUGUCAAAAGGGAAGCGUUUGACACCAGUGUUGUUUUCUCGAAAAUCAAUUAAAAAGAUUUGGAUUUUGUGUUGUAUUGACUUUAUCAGCUUUCAGCACUCUUUUUCUUGUCUUUUUUAAUGCACUUUUCGUUUAACAAGUCAACAUCAAUUUCUUUUGUUGUAAAAGGGUAUGAGGAAGGUGGCUUUCUUUUCGGAGAAAGUGUUUAUAGCCUUGUGCCUCUGCAAUCGGAGAGAUUGAGGUCUGCAGCGUAGAUCCUUCGGGGUUAGAUACGUAGAUGCUAAGUUAUAGUUUUUCAUAGACAACUUGUUGACUAUGAUUAAUCAUGUAGCUUACUCGUUUGCGCUAUUUUACCUACGCUUAGGAUGUUGAUAGUCACAGCGUGUAC
rnacentral:rRNA from 1 species